UACGUAGGGGACAAGCGUUAUCCGGAUUUAUUGGGCGUAAAGAGCUCGUAGGCGGCUGAUCGCGUCGGUUGUGAAAGCUCAGGGCUCAACCCUGAGACGCCAAUCGAUACGGAUCGGCUAGAGGUAGGUAGGGGAAAGUGGAAUUCCUGGUGUAGCAGUGAAAUGCGUAGAUAUCAGGAGGAACACCGAUGGCGAAGGCAGGUCUCUGGGCUGACACUGACGCUCAUGCACGAAAGCGUGGGGAGCAAACAGG
rnacentral:rRNA from 1 species